rnacentral:miRNA from 1 species
UCCAAUGUAAUCUAGGUCUA